ensembl:lncRNA
CUGGGUUCAAAGGGGACACAAAGGGAAUUUUAAUUACUUUUAUUGUUUUUCCUCUCACAACAGCCCUGUGAGGUAGGUAGGCACAUCUCUGAUUCAGGUGAUGUGGCACCCUUCACCCUAACCCCAGUUCCUCAUCCUAUUUCCAUUUAAGGAAAACAAUGCCUGAGAUGCCUCUACCCUCCCCCCCCAAUAUUGCUUAUAGGAUGGGUUCGAGGAAAUCAUGUACCUUUCAUCUCCAUCCUCUACCCCAUCUCCAAGCCACAUAGUCAUGUGAUGAUGGGGUGACCCAUUUAAAAAGGGGGUAUGAUUAAAAGCUACUCUUUUUAGUGAUGCUUCCUUUAAUCAGGUCAUCUACCCUGACUAGCCUUGAGGGGAGGUUAUCUUGAGUCUCCCAAGGAUUAAAGAGGGGAAGGAGAUUUGAUGUUGAGUAGGACAGUGGUAGAAAAGAAGAAGGAAGUGAUUAUUUAAUUAGAACAUUAAAAUUUCACAGUUCCCCCAUGACCUCUUCCCUCCCCAUCCCAAGCAUGGCUAUUCGCCCCCAAACAGAAAAUUUUUUUCUAUCCUCAAGAGGCAGAAAAACAGCAGAGAAAAGAUCAGCACCCCAGGAAGCUUGGAGGAGCACCCAUAGGAGGCUGGCGGAGACACCCACCCACAGAACCCCUCGACUGAUGGCUAGGCCAGCAGAAGCAUCUGUCUCCACCUUCCCGUUGCAUCUAUUUGACUGGCAGCAGGCAACGGAAAUGGCAUGUCCAUCAGUUGAAAUGGUGCUGUUUGGACACGUCGGGGCACAGGACUUCAUCACCAGGAUAUGGUUUGGGUUGAUUGAGUUGACUGGAAUUGGAAGAGAAGAAAGAAAAGAGAUGGGUGAGGAAUGUUUGAAGAAAAAAGACAACAACCAGACCCUAGAGACCCCAUGGGGAAGAGAAGACAAAGGAAAUGACCAGGGAAUGUGCAGUGGGAUUAGGCCACUGCAGAGCUGAGAUGGGAAGCAGCUAAGGGGCCAGUAUCUCAAGGCAGAAAAGGUACGUGGCAGUACUGUCCAGUACUCAGGGAAAUGUCAGUGAUUAUUAUCAAGCUCCAAGUUCUUCUGGCCUCUGACCCAAAGUUCCCAGAGUUGCUAAUGGAUGAGGUCUUACAUUCCAAACAUGCAGAUGCUCAUACAUCUGAUUCACUGAUUCCAUCAUCGUUCAUCUCCCCCAAGUAUGGGGGAGAAGCCACUGCUGUCCCUAUUUCUCAAGGGAAGAGCUGAGGGUUGGUGACUUUGCCCAAUAUCACAUAGCAUGUCAGUCUUUGUUGAAGCAGGGUUAGAUCCCUGCUCCAUUUUCUCAAGCAAGAAACUGAGGCCCAGAGAGGUUAAAUUAAUUAUCCAAGGUCACAUAGCUAGCAAGUAAACAGCAGAGACAGGAUUUGAAACCAUGGACAUAUUUACCAAGGGGAGUUUGAGGGACCAAUUACAAAGCCAGACAGGGAAGAGAUUCUAUUCUUACUAAAGGAAUAUGAUUGAACUGAGGCAGAGCUGUGGGGUGUGGGGAGUUUCAAUCUGCCAGCUCAAUAUAUAGCAGUAUAAUCUUAAAGUAGACCCAGAAGAGAUUAGUGGUGAAGCCUGACACUGCGAUGUUUGCAUAGCCUCCUGUCACCUCUCUGUAAUACUGUAUGCUAUUGCAAAAAGCAAAAGAACAGCACAAAGCAUGAUACUUCACUGCAUCAAUGAAGAGUGAUGUAGGGAGCUUACAGUCGUUUGCACAGAAUUGUCUAAUCCUUUUUUCACCAUCUUUUCUUUCUGUAAAAAGAAAAGAGGAAAAAUAAAGAUUUCAGUGAUCAUGGGAGGCUUUCUCUU